UUGCUUUGGAACAAGUGAUCAAAAGGUUAGGUUACGUCUUAACCUUAUACUAUAAUUGAAGAAAUGCAAGUAAAAUAUAUAGACCAUUUGUUUUGUUCAAUAUAGUUUACUUUUAAAAUACGACAGUCAAGAGAAAAAACAGCUUCAAUAUCGAGGCGUAGUGAUUAAAAGCUUGUAUGAUGUAAAAAGAGCAGUAGAAUUAGUAGAUAAAGAAAAAGCUACAAGAGCGUUACUCGAAAAACAAAAAUAUACUAUCUUCUAUAAUAAAUGAGAAGUCUUGGAUAAAGAUUCAAAGAUUCAAAAACCAGAGAUUCAAAAGGAAGAUUAUGAUCAGAAAUGUAAAUUACUAAAUAGACAAUCAACUUUACUCUGCAGACAAGUAAGAAAUGAAUUUUAGAAAAUGGAGUACAAGAAAAAAAAUACGUAUUACCUUGUCAUGAAACAAUUUUGUCGAAUAUAAUACAAGUGAUGUCAAUCUUUGUUUAUUUUUAUUUUUACCAAACAUCUGGAAAGCAAAUAAAGUCUUUGAAGGCGUGAAACAAAAAAAUGAUGAACCACGAAAUAAGACCGAACAGGCAGAGGAAUUAGAGGAAUAUAUGAUAACGCAAUUAGAAUUUAAUAUCAAAUGCCGAAAACGUCAACAAUUAGAAGCAAACCAAAUGAAAUCUACUAUUGAAGAGUUUGAGACAAAAAUCCACAAAAUGCAAGAA